AUACGUAGGUGACAAGCGUUAUCCGGAUUUACUGGGCGUAAAGGGCGUGUAGGCGGUCUUGCAAGUCAGAAGUGAAAUUCCUGAGCUCAACUCGGGCGCUGCUUCUGAAACUGCAGGACUUGAGUGCUGGAGGGGAUAGCGGAAUUCCUAGUGGAGCGGUAAAAUGCGCAGAUAUUAGGAAGAACACCGGUGGCGAAGGCGGCUAUCUGGACAGUAACUGACGCUGAGGCGCGAAAGCGUGGGGAGCAAACAGGAUUAGAUACCCUGGUAGUCCACGACGUAAACGAUGAAUACUAGGUGUAGGGGGUAUCGACUCCCUCUGUGCCGCAGUUAACACAAUAAGUAUUCCGCCUGGGGAGUACGGCCGCAAGGUUGAAACUCAAAUGAAUUGACGGGG
rnacentral:rRNA from 1 species